AUUGAACGCUGGCGGCAUGCCUUACACAUGCAAGUCGAACGGCAGCACGGGAGCAAUCCUGGUGGCGAGUGGCGAACGGGUGAGUAAAGUAUCGGAACGUGCCCAGUCGUGGGGGAUAACGUAGCGAAAGUUACGCUAAUACCGCAUACGAUCUAUGGAUGAAAGCGGGGGAUCGCAAGACUUCGCGCGAUUGGAGCGGCCGGUAUCAGAUUAGGUAGUUGGUGGGGUAAAGGCGCACCAAGCCGACGAUCUGUAGCUGGUCUGAGAGGACGACCAGCCAAACGUGGACUGAGACACGGCCCAGCCUCCUACGGGAGGCAGCAGUGGGGAAUUUUGGACAAUGGGCGAAAGCCUGAUCCAGCCAUGCCGCGUGCAGGAUGAAGGCCUUCGGGUUGUAAACUGCUUUUGUACGGAACGAAAAGGUUUGGCCUAAUAAGCUGAGCUCAUGACGGUACCGUAAGAAUAAGCACCGGCUAACUACGUGCCAGCCGCCGCGGUAA
rnacentral:rRNA from 1 species